CUUUUAUCUUACUGGGUAAGGUAAUUGAGGCACAAAACUAAUGUCAUUUCACACCAUAUAGCCUUGUAAUCUACUGGAAAGAGUUAAAAGCAAUUUACACUACU